UCCCCUUGGUGAUAUAGUGUAUGAAAGCACGUCAGAUUGCAAACCUGGAAGAGAAACUAACUUCU
rnacentral:tRNA from 1 species